GCACACAGGCUUUGCCCAUUGUGAGGAAAGCUGCCUUCACCUUUGGCACGGAAUUCAAGAUCACUCACUCUCCUGCUUCUCCUAUAAUGCUUAGGUCCAACGGAUGAGGAAGAUUGCCUGACUUUAAAGUUCUCCUAUUCUGUCACAGUCUUUGGCAGCAGAAAGAGAAGGGAUGAAAGCCAUUGUUGGACAAGAAUGCUAAUUCUGAGAGCGAGCAUGGAAAGGUUGAGUCAGCCUGUGCCACAUUGUGAGCGUUCAGCAAUGUUCCAUUCAUUUGUGUGACAAGCCUCAUUAUGAGGAAGCUUUUUAAAAGCAGUUCAUUCUGAGAGAGCUUUGGAUACAGUUCCAAAAGCAGAAAAUAAAACCUAGGAGGACAGACGAAAGCAAAAAGAGCAGGCAGAAGAAACAAGCAGGAAGGCACACAAAAAUCAGCUCUUUUGCAAGUUCAUUUUUUCAUUAUGUUUGACAUUCUUUGGGAGACAGAACUGCUCUGCACACUUGUGGCCUCAGGCAGUGAAGCUGGAAGAAGAUAUUUCAAGAGCUGCAGAACACACACAUAGCUGCAUAACACAGAAAAGAUAUAAAAACUGAAUUGACAAGA